CCUACGGGUGGCAGCAGUCGAGAAUCAUUCACAAUGGGGGAAACCCUGAUGGUGCGACGCCGCGUGGGGGAAUGAAGGUCUUCGGAUUGUAAACCCCUGUCAUGUGGGAGCAAAUUAAAAAGAUAGUACCACAAGAGGAAGAGACGGCUAAUUCUGUGCCAGCAGCCGCGGUAAUACAGAGGUCUCAAGCGUUGUUCGGAAUCACUGGGCGUAAGGCGUGCGUAGGCUGUUUCGUAAGUCGUGUGUGAAAGGCGCGGGCUCAACCCGCGGACGGCACAUGAUACUGCGAGACUAGAGUAAUGGAGGGGGAACCGGAAUUCUCGGUGUAGCAGUGAAAUGCGUAGAUAUCGAGAGGAACACUCGUGGCGAAGGCGGGUUCCUGGACAUUAACUGACGCUGAGGCACGAAGGCCAGGGGAGCGAAAGGGAUUAGAUACCCUGGUAGUC
rnacentral:rRNA from 1 species